GGUUGUAGCUCAGUGGUAGAGCGCUUGCCUAGCAUGUGUGAGGCUCUGGGUUUGAUUCUCAACACUG
rnacentral:tRNA from 1 species